UGCCUAAUACAUGCAAGUAGGACACAGUUUAUACCGUAGCUGCUACACCAUAGACUGUGAGUUGCGAACGGGUGAGUAACGCGUAGGUAACCUGCCUAUUAGAGGGGGAUAACUAUUGGAAACGAUAGCUAAUACCGCAUAACAGUAUGUAACACAUGUUAGAUGCUUGAAAGAUGCAAUUGCAUCGCUAGUAGAUGGACCUGCGUUGUAUUAGCUAGUAGGUAGGGUAAAGGCCUACCUAGGCAACGAUACAUAGCCGACCUGAGAGGGUGAUCGGCCACACUGGGACUGAGACACGGCCCAGACUCCUACGGGAGGCAGCAGUAGGGAAUCUUCGGCAAUGGGGGGAACCUGACCGAGCAACGCCGCGUGAGUGAAGAAGGUUUUCGGAUCGUAAAGCUCUGUUGUUAAGGAAGAACGAGUGUGAGAAUGGAAAGUUCAUGCUGUGACGGUACUUAACCAGAAAGGGACGGCUAACUACGUGCCAGCAGCCGCGGUAAUACGUAGGUCCCGAGCGUUGUCCGGAUUUAUUGGGCGUAAAGCGAGCGCAGGCGGUUAGAAAAGUCUGAAGUGAAAGGCAGUGGCUCAACCAUUGUAGGCUUUGAAACUGUUUAACUUGAGUGCAGAAGGGGAGAUGGAAUUCCAGUGUAGCGGUGAAAUGCGUAGAUAUAUGGAGGAACACCGGUGGCGAAACGGCUCUCUGGUCUGUAACUGACGCUGAGGCUCGAAACGUGGGGAGCGAACAGGAUUAGAUACCCUGGUAGUCCACGCCGUAAACGAUGAGUGCUAGGUGUUAGGUCCUUUCCGGGACUUAGUGCCGCAGCUAACGCAUUAAGCACUCCGCCUGGGGAGUACGACCGCAAGGUUGGACUCAAAGGAAUUGACGGGGGCCCGCACAAGCGGUGGAGCAUGUGGUUUAAUUCGAAGCAACGCGAAGAACCUUACCAGGUCUUGACAUCCCGAUGCUAUUUCUAGAGAUAGGAAGUUUCUUCGGAACAUCGGUGACAGGUGGUGCAUGGUUGUCGUCAGCUCGUGUCGUGAGAUGUUGGGUUAAGUCCCGCAACGAGCGCAACCCUUAUUGUUAGUUGCCAUCAUUGAGUUGGGCCUCUAGCGAGACUGCCGGUAAAAACCGAGGAA
rnacentral:rRNA from 1 species